GAAGUAAAUGUAUAUCAAUGGGCGGUGGAUCUUGGUCAUUUAGAGGAAGUAAAAGUCGUAACAAGGUUUCCGUAGGUGAACCUGCGGAAGGAUCAUUAAAGAGUUAGGGUCUGCGGGCCCGACCUCCAACCCUUUGUUUACUUACCAUGUUGCUUUGGCGGAUCCGUCUCACGACCGCCGGAAGUUGAAGAUCCAUCUUCGACUUUUGGCCCGUGUCCGCCAACAGCCUCUUACAAAUUCUGGAACAAAAAUGUGAUGUCUGAGAUAAAAAUUUAAUCGUUAAAACUUUCAACAACGGAUCUCUUGGUUCUGGCAUCGAUGAAGAACGCAGCGAAAUGCGAUAAGUAAUGCGAAUUGCAGAAUUCAGUGAGUCAUCGAAUCUUUGAACGCACAUUGCGCCCUUUGGUAUUCCGAAGGGCAUGUCUGUCCGAGCGUCAUUAUCAACCCUCAAGCCUGGCUUGUUGUUGGACCGUUCGUCGUUCACCCGACGGGUCUCACAGACCAUGACGGACUCAUGUCUGGACCCCCGAUGCAAUGAGCUCUCGUACCAUGCGGUGACGGGCUGGCCGCUCUUGGUCGUCACCAUCUAUUCUACAAGGUUGACCUCGGAUCAGGUAGGAAUACCCGCUGAACUUAAGCAUAUCAAUAG
rnacentral:rRNA from 1 species